CUAACAAUGACGUCAUACACUAAACCGAAAGUUUAUUUAGGUUAUUUCCAGCGGAAGUUGUUAUUCUGAAAACUGCAAUCGACAUUAUUGGUUUUUGGCGUCAAACCCCGACUAAGAACAUACCAGAAACCUUUUACCAGAAUACUACAUUGAAGAAAAUCUUCUUAGUAUGUCUAAAUGAAGAUGGGAUAACAUAUGGUUUAUUUUUGAAAGAAUAACAUCAACGUGUUGUCAUAAUAAUGGUUCACCCAGCUGUGUAUGCUGUAAUACCUAUGCUAUCACUAGGACUAGCUGCUCUGUAUUAUGUAUUCAAGGGCUCGCCUAGUGAAACCCAUGGAUCAGGCCCCUCCCACAAUCCAAGAUAUCCAAACAACCCUGCUUCGUCCAACACAAGUAAUCUACGUCGAAGGCGAAAACUAGAUUAUGACGACAACGAAUGUCAGAUUUGUCAGGAUGCCAGUUGCAAUGUAGAAAUUCUACCAUGUCACCAUCGAGAAAUAUGUGAGCAGUGUGUGAAUGCAAUUAUAACUAAAGUCGACAGAUUAUGCCCAUUUUGUAGACAAUUCAUCCAGGGAUAUAGAGACAUUUAAAUACAUGGAGGAAGCUGUGUUUUGAUUUUAUUUUGGGUCAGGGGUUCUUUUCUUUAUAUUCAAAUUUUAGCAAAAAUUAAUUAAUUCAAAAGUGGUUCUGAUUAUAAGAAUACAUAUAUUUUUCGUAGCCUAGAGGCCUGUGUACAUGGUGAUAUCAUGGACCUUAUAAUACAACCCAUAGUGAUAUCUGUCUGUGUUUGGUGGAAUUAUUCAGUAAAGAGAAACACAAGUUUUUAACAUUCCAGUGUAAUUCACCUGUUGUAUUUAUAUAGAAUUAGUUAGGUUGUUACCAGGUGAUUCAAUUUCUUGACCAAUAAUUUCAGUAGAUGCAAUAAUAAGCUAUCGUUUGCCAUCGCAAACCAUAGUCUAGUAAUAUACAUUACAUGUGCACAUCCUGCAAAGUAUUAAAUUCCAGCUUAUUCUUUUGAGGACAUUGGCCAGUCUCUAAUAAGCAGAUAAAUAACCUAGCUCAAUCAGUUUAUUUAGCUAUAUGGGCUCUGCUUUCAUUAGCCAUCUUGGUGCAGAAAAGUAAGACAUUAAUCCAUAUUAUCAGGCCCAAAAUUAUUUCAGUAUACAUUAUUUCUAUGCAAAUAAACUGCAUUUUUACUUCAUUGAAAUUAUUUUUGUUUUGAUGAUCAUUGAUCACUCCAUUUGUCAGCCAAAUAACAUCACUUUAGUCCAAAUAUAAUACUUAUAAUUUAAACUGUUGUUUUUUGGGGGGUUAAAAUUUGGAUUAAGUUAUUUGUUUAUAAAAAUAGGAAAUGCCAAAUAAUGGCAGUUAUUUAUAUGACACUUAUUUCAGAGCAAAAUGUAACAAUAAUCAUUUGAAUGAUAUGCAAGUUAUUGGUACUGGCUAAUGAAGGGACAUAACUCUAUUUAAAGGCACAACACGCUGAUCCUUCACAUACAUGUAUCUUGAAUAGAAACAUAGCUGGCCAUAUUUUAAGUUAGAAUUGAUCAAUUUCAACUUUUUUUGUACUAAAACUGUAUAUUUUUGAUUGUGUACUCAGUACAUUCAUAAACUCUAUAUUAAAUCUUAAAAAAAAUGGAGGGUUUUGUGACCAAAUGGUUUAACAUGUGCAUGUUAGAUCAGGUCUGCCAUUGAGUUAAGUGGUGUAGUUUCAAUUGUGACAUGGGAUAGUUCAUCCUCGCAGGGGCGGAUCCAGAGGGGGGGUUUGGGGGGUUGAAACCCCCCAGCUCAGCUACAUAAUUUUGUUUGUAAAUCAACAUAUGAUAGUCCUGAAAUGACCUAGUUUGUAUUCAAAUUUUAACAGUUUAAGAUAAGCUAUAAAAACAAAUAAUGAACUGACUAUACAUGUAUAAUUAUUCUCCAAGCAUGUAUCUUACAGAAAAGUUAAAUAUACAUUAUGUAAGUGCUAAAUCUGCCUAUUGUAGGUCCUUGGCAGUUGGAAUUCGAUAUAAGAGUAGGCCGUAGCGCCGCUGUCUGUGCAAAAUUUCCCUCAUAGCACACUGUAUGGCGUAUUCCCGUCUUCAUUAGCCCAGUUUAGGAGCAGAACAGUAGGACGUUAAACCCCAAUUCAUUUCAUUUCCUAUUGUAGGUCUUUAUUUAGGCCUGAAAUGUUAUCUAAAUUAUUGAUUAGACAUUAAUUAACUUAUCCAGACCAUAAUCAAUUCUCGAUGUCAUCGCUAGCCUGUGAUGUUUAUUGGAUUAGGUUCUGGUUUGCUGUUCGACUUCCAUUCAUGAUUUAAUUAUAAAAAUGGAUAAUCAAGACUAUGUUUUUUAUCGUAUAGACCUAAAUCAUGAUGAUCAAGGCUAGGACGAAAAUUCAAUCCUAACAUCUUGGUUCAGAGUGGAUCACUGUUAUAGUGAGAACUGCCAGCUCUUUAUCUAAUCUCCCAUAAUGUAUCUUUAGGCAAAUUCUUAGUUUAACUGAUAUCUAAGAAAUGUUAAUGAUAUAUUCCCUUAAUCAUAGUUAGAUCAUCUGUUUAACACUCUAGUUUGUAUGACAACUGACCAGGGAUAUUAAGAUUAUAGAUUCAAAUUCCCUAAUAAACACACAAUAAAUUAUUACAGAACAUUAACCACGGAACCUGCGGUUGUUAUCUUAGGUUACAUUAUUCACACAUUACUAAGUAAUGAAAGUGCUUGGCGAUUCAUUGUUUUGCAGCAGUAAUGUAUAGAUAUUGCUCUCUUAUAAAAUUUGUACAUACAUGUAUUGUAGAUAGUGAAAAAUGUUUUUAUGUUUUUCAUAACAAGUAAGUUUUCCCUUGUAGUUCAGAUUUGAUGAUGAUUUAUUUAGUAUCCUGGCUUUAAUAAUGAUUAUAUUGGUGUGUUUUAGCUUUUGUUAAAUAUGCAUAUUUUACAUGUAUUAUGUUUGUAAAGUUCAAAUUUAGCUGCUGUAAAUACUUUAAGUAGGUAUAGUAUUGCUGUGAGCAUUUGUGACAAGCUUGGUUAAAAUUUUCGAAAAUAAUCAUUAAUCAAAUUUCUAUAUUUCCUUAUAACAUAUUUUGCAAUUAGAAUAUUACCUAAAUUAUUUAUUUGUCUAUUUAAUGUGACUAAACCAGCCAGUUUUUGUAUAUUUUCUACCUGCUAAUUUUAAACCUGCAUAAAAAAAUGAUACACAAAAUGUUAGAUUUUUAUAGUUUCAAUAGAGCUUGUCACAUUUGAUUCAUUUCAAACUGCUGUGGUUGCAAAUCUAAUGGUAAAUUUGUAGAUUUUUUUUACCAUUUUCUAUUUUCUUAAUUCAUACCAUUUUUUUAAUUUGUUCAGCAUUUUGUAUUUAAAAUAAUAUGGAGUAUAAAACAAUAUAGUUUAAUAAAAUAUGAAAUUAAUUUAUCUGUGAUACAGUGUAAAAUAAAGAGAAAUUGGAUAUUGUUUUUACGAAAUUAUAGCCAUGGUCGACAAACAAUAUGAUUACGAAAUAUAGAUCAAUUGUAGUACAAUAUGAUUUCAUCUACCUUAUGACAUCAUGAUUUACACGCAUUUAUUACAUUGGGGCAAAUUCUGUUUAUUUGAACAUCUGAAAUUACAAAUUAAUAAAAAUUUAUAGUAUCUAUAAAA